AUUGAACGCUGGCGGCAUGCCUUACACAUGCAAGUCGAACGGCAGCACGGGUGCUUGCACCUGGUGGCGAGUGGCGAACGGGUGAGUAAUACAUCGGAACAUGUCCUGUAGUGGGGGAUAGCCCGGCGAAAGCCGGAUUAAUACCGCAUACGAUCUACGGAUGAAAGCGGGGGACCUUCGGGCCUCGCGCUAUAGGGUUGGCCGAUGGCUGAUUAGCUAGUUGGUGGGGUAAAGGCCUACCAAGGCGACGAUCAGUAGCUGGUCUGAGAGGACGACCAGCCACACUGGGACUGAGACACGGCCCAGGCUCCUACGGGAGGCAGCAGUGGGGAAUUUUGGACAAUGGGCGAAAGCCUGAUCCAGCAAUGCCGCGUGUGUGAAGAAGGCCUUCGGGUUGUAAAGCACUUUUGUCCGGAAAGAAAUCCUUGGCCCUAAUACGGUCGGGGGAUGACGGUACCGGAAGAAUAAGCACCGGCUAACUACGU
rnacentral:rRNA from 1 species